UACGGAAGGCAGCAGUGGGGAAUAUUGCACAAUGGGCGCAAGCCUGAUGCAGCCAUGCCGCGUGUAUGAAAAGGCCUUCGGGUUGUAAAGUACUUUCAGUCGUGAGGAAGGUGUUAAGGUUAAUAACCUUAGCAAUUGACGUUAGCGACAGAAGAAGCACCGGCUAACUCCGUGCCAGCAGCCGCGGUAAUACGGAGGGUGCGAGCGUUAAUCGGAAUUACUGGGCGUAAAGGGCACGCAGGCGGUUAAUUAAGUUGGAUGUGAAAUCCCCGGGCUUAACCUGGGAAUGGCAUUCAAGACUGGUUAGCUAGAGUCUUGUAGAGGGGGUAGAAUUCCAUGUGUAGCGGUGAAAUGCGUAGAGAUGUGGAGGAAUACCGGUGGCGAAGGCGGCCCCCUGGGACAAAGACUGACGCUCAUGUGCGAAAGCGUGGGGAGCAAACAGGGAUUAGAUACC
rnacentral:rRNA from 1 species